GGUGAGCUGCGAGUCAUAGGACAGGCUUGUCUGAGGGCCUCCAGAGAUACUGGACACUACAGUGGUAGGAAAAACAGAACAAUGUGUACCAGAGUAUUAUUCCUUUUGCCCAUCCUCUGCCAACCAGAACUGUAGUCACUGAUGCUCCCCCACAUAUUUUGGACACACAUCUAGGAAUGUUAAAGGUUCAGAGUUUGUGGUCAGGGCAGGAAGCAUCAUGUCAUAUCAAAGUAGUGGAGUUUCAAGUCAUUUACAGUGCCUUCCAGGAUCAGAUGAGGGAAGCAAUGGUUCACAUACUCACCAACAAUACCACUGCAGUGUGUUAUGUGAACAAGUAGAGAGGUGCCUACUCCAACCAACUUUGUCAGGAAGCAAUAAAUUUUUGGCAUUUCUGCAUCAAGGAAGACAACAUACCCACGGUAGCACAUUUACCAGGCUCUCAAAACCAGUUGACUGACCAUCUCAGCAGGACUUUCUCCAACAAUCAUGAGUGAUCUCUAAAAAGCAGCAUGGUGAGGCUAUUUUCAAGGAAUGGGGAAUCCCAUUCAUCAACUAGGUGCAACAAGGACAACAAGAAGAGCCGUCAGUUUGGUUCCCGAGGGGACUUAGUGCAAGAUCUUUAACCAAUGCCUUCCAUCUGUACUGGGGAAUGCACCUGAUGUAUGCUUUUCUCCAAACCCCUUUCAGAUUAUCCUCAAACUGAAGUUGGACCAAUUGAUACUUAGUGUGCUGGCUUGGCCAAGACAAUGUGCUUUCUCAAUUUGUCUGUUCGACCACCCAAAUCUCUUCCCCUCCUUCUGACCUGCUUUAGUACCAUGGCCAGGUUGUUCAUCGGCACUGAGUAAUCUACACCUCACAACAUGGCUGGUUGAAAGAAAGGUAAUUCUCGGAAGCAAUUCAGAGGAUCCUACUUAAUAGUAGAAAACCAUUUAUUAGAACUACUUCUUUGGUUAAGUGGAUGCAUUUUUCAGUUUGGUUGAUAUCUAAGGAAAUUCAGCCCAUGUUGGCUCAUGUUCGGGACAUUUUGGAUUACCCUUUACACUUCCUCCAUGGCAGUGAGAUUUCUGAAAGGUAUAGUCUCCCUGUUUCCUCCUGUGAAGGAAAUGAACCUAUUGUGGGACUCGAAUACUGUGCUGGCCACCCUCAUGGUUCCUCCAUUUGAGCUGAUGACAACCUACUCGUAGGCUAUCUUUUGGGAGAAGGGAGACACUCUUGUGGUUAUAACAUCUGCAAGAAAUCAGGAAGUUACAGACCUCUUUUUAGUCAGUUUUUCAAAGACUGUGUCCUUAAAACCACAUCCGAAGCUUUUGUCUAGGGUGAUUUCAUAGUUUCACCUUUAUCAGGUUAUUUACUUGACUAUAUACUUUCCUAAGCCACACUCAAAUGCAGAUGAGUAGUAUCUCUAUAUGUUAGAAUGCCAAGCACCACUACACAUCCAUCUGGAAAGCACUAAACCAUUUAAUUCACCACCUCAAAUAUAUUUUUUUGUCUCCUAUGCGGAUUGGAUGAAAAGUCAGCCAAUCUCAAUGCAGAUUUCCAGAUCAUGGUCUUUGGAGUAGCUCAGACUACACCCCACAGACAUUACAGGCUCAUUCGAUGAGAGCCCAGGUCAGAUGCAAACUUUGGGACAGAAGUUCUGCAGUCAUUGUUCACUGCCUACUGAAACUGCUUGUGAGUCACCUGAGUGGAAUAUACAUCUGCUACCACUUGAAGAAAAAAGUUUACUUGUAUUGUAACUGCUGUUCUUCGAGAUGUGGGUGCAGAUAUGUGUGUUCUACUCAAGUUGUGCAUGCCUGGCGCACUAAAGCUGGAGCAGAGUACAUGUCUGCACACAAAUCUCAAACCGCUACAAUACAGAUAAGUACCUGUCUUUUUUCCCCAUCCCUUCUACGCUCCGUCCCCCCAAAAAGCUUGAAUCCAUGUCUACAUGCUGACCUUUGAGAUCUAGAAAACUGACUACAGGAAGCCAGAUCUUGCUUCUGAAUAUGCCUCCUUGGGAGAUCAUGAAAUGUUCUUUUCAGAUGGCAAAGAAUAUCUCUUCUUUCUGUCAAGAAAAUAACUUUCAAUUUGUUUAUUGAAAGGGGUAUAGUAGGAGAUCCUAGCAAUCCCUGCUACAUGCUGUAGCACACCAAUUACUGGGGGUGAACAGAUCAUCUCACGUUUGGGUCUCUCAAAACCUGUCUUUUUAGCGUGUGUGUGUGUCAUAGUUUUUUUUCUUCCUAGAGGGCAUCAGCUCUGCCUUAUAUCUAGGACAAGGUUCUACCCACUUAUAAUACAAGUAGUAAAUAGGGACUAUUAAAACAUUAUUGAAGAAACAACUGUCUCUACAGCUCAAGUCUUUGACAAAACAUGAACAAUGGAUUGGAGUAGUGUUUUCUUCAUUUACCUUUGUCAAAUAAACAUUUAUUUGAAACUAUAAGAUUCCCUAUUGAAACAAGGACUUUAUAAUUGCAUCACCAAGUUUGGGUCAACACACUCUUCCAUUCUUUACCAAUAAAUAAAUAAAUACGAAAUUAUGAUGAUUUUUAUGCAUAAGUUAGAAAAUAGAGAAUUACAGUCGUCAUACCAAUUUUAACUCUGUCCUUGUUUGUCACAUGGAAUAUUGUAUACCAUCCUGGUGUUAGCAUUAAAGGAUUAAGAUAUUAAUUGAGGCAUUGGGAAGAAUAACUGAACGUCCAGUCAUGUGAAAUCUGUUCUGAUAUUGUGACAACAGUUUUGGGGACUUGGAAGUAGAGUGCGUGGUGAAUAUGAAAGAAAGUUGAAGCAAAGGUAUAUUUGACUCUGCACUGGCAAUCACAUUUGAAUGCCAGAAGAGCAUGUAUAUGAAAGAGUGUACAAAAUUGCGCCUAAGAGGAGUGGGCAAAAAUUGAAAUCCUAGGCACUAGAAACCUCAACUUCCUGUAAUUUUUUGAUGCAAUUUUUAAGGUCAUAUUUAUUUCAUAACUAACUUUUUUUUUUUAACUUAACAAAGCGCACAUUCUCUAGGAAGGAUUGUAUGUGCCAGGUCAAAACCAGUUUUGUUAUCUGCAUAAAAGGAA